CCAAAAGCUGGCCGUUAGAUAUACACAAAAUGUAUUAAAUAUAAUGUUUUAACUACAAGGGGGAGAUUGAAUCCAGUGGCAGAUCCGAGAUUGACUGGCCGAAGUAAAUGCUGCUGUCGGCGGGGGAGAGAAUCAUAAAGCUCCCGCUGACAGAGUCCGCUUUCACUGAAGCACAUUGUCAAAGAAGCGCUGUCUUUUUAAAUAAACUGCCGAUUCGAGUUUAAAACAACUACAUUCUCGCCUGAAAUACUCUUAAAACUACAUUUUGAGACACAUUAGAUGAAUUUUUUUUAAACUUGCGGGUCUGCACAGCGGGGGAUUGUCCAUUGACUUUCGCUUAGCAUUAGCAGGCAGCCAGCAGAUUUGAAUUCGUGUUGUCUAAUAGGAUUUUGCCCGCGCCGUGCAUUCAUAAUGCGAGCUGAUUACGUGCGACGGUUAAUCUCCAGCUGUUGCACUGUUCUGACGCUCUUCUCACCGCCGAUGAAGGAUGGACCUGAAGGACUCAAAGAAGCUGGAAUACGCUCGUGAAGACGAAGCACAGACAUUUGCAGAAAAUGAAGUGGACAAGGAAGCAGUAGUGUAAUAACGUGAUUCCUGCAAUUGGUGAGGAUGCAUCAUCUUUUGAGAAUAAUACGAAUGUCCUGUGUAUCCAGUGAAAUAAGUCAUGGUAAACCUGACUGAAUGCAUUCAUCAACCAUCUCCAACCAAGUCAGAGCUUCAAGGACAGCUUGUGCUAAAGGUGCCUGAGCUUGAUUAAGAAAAAAAGCAUCUCCACUGGCCAAAGUCUACAAAAAAGCAGGAGAAUAGAAGUUUGCAGAUGAUCUAACAGGUAUUAACAUAAAACUUACAUAAUAAUAAUUUUGCUAGAUCAAACCUUUAUUUCUUGGAUGGGAUCAUUAAGUGCCUUUUCAAGCUGCAUUUAGAAAGGU